rnacentral:lncRNA from 1 species
AAUUGACCCAAUAACAUGCCCCACUUACACAUCUCGUACCUGUGGUUUGUCUAGGGUCCUCAGGGAAGAUCCUAAAGUCCAUCAUGGCUGAAAAGUAGAAGUAUGCACAUCACUGCAAUGUGAAGGCUACUUUCAGCUGAUGGGACCCACACAGUCUGUGGACAAGUUUGCUUAAGUGAAAGGUGGCCGUCCUGGAACUCUGGCGGUUCUUUCAGGGUAAUGAAUGGUGACCAUAUGCAGAGCCAUUCCUGAAAGAGAUAAGUGCCAAAAUUCAACAAUAGGGAGAGAAUCCUGCACUGGAUGGAAUCACUUGGCCCAGUGUGGACACAAAGAUAUCCUAUGCCAUGGCAUGGAGGCUCCCAAGAACUUCUAGGAUGAAUGUGAGCCCCACAGGAGCCCACAGCCCAGCCUGGGAGAACAUUAAAGUAUCUGGAAUUAUCAGGGACCCUAAGGUUGAAGAGGCAGAGAAUGACCGCAGAGGUGACCAGUAUGUCCUCAGCCUGGACAACAAGUGUCUGCUCAAUCAUACAGACAGCUCACGACUAUCUCACCC